AGGGUGUAAACGCUGCGGGCUUGGUGUUGGGGGUCCUUAGUGGGCGCCCAGUGCCGGAGAGAAGUUGUUAAGCCUGCUGCUUGGGGAGUAUGUCCGCAAGGAUGAAACUUAAAGGAAUUGGCGGGGGAGCACCGCAACGGGAGGAGCGUGCGGUUCAAUUGGAUUCAACGCCGGACAACUCACCAGGAGCGACGGUUACAUGAAGGCCAGGCUGAUGACCUUGCCUGAUUUUCCGAGAGGAGGUGCAUGGCGUCAGUGACU
rnacentral:rRNA from 1 species